CCUACGGGAGGCAGCAGUAAGGAAUAUUGGACAAUGGAGGCAACUCUGAUCCAGCCAUGCCGCGUGCAGGAAGAAGGCGCUACGCGUUGUAAACUGCUUUUGUACCAGAGAAAAUCAUUGUACGUGUACGAUGUUGAUAGUAUGGUAAGAAUAAGCAUCGGCUAACUUCGUGCCAGCAGCCGCGGUAAUACGAAGGAUGCAAGCGUUAUCCGGAUUUAUUGGGUUUAAAGGGAGCGUAGGCGGUCUUAUAAGUCAGUGGUGAAAUCUCGUUGCUUAACAACGAACGUGCCAUUGAUACUGUAGGACUUGAGUACAGUUGCCGUUGGCGGAAUGUGUCAUGUAGCGGUGAAAUGCAUAGAUAUGACACAGAACACCGAUUGCGAAGGCAGCUGACGAAACUGUAACUGACGCUGAGGCUCGAAAGCGUGGGGAUCAAACAGGAUUAGAUACCCUGGUAGUCCACGCCCUAAACCUAUAUAUACUCGUCUCGUCGGCGAUAUACUAGUCGGUAGUACGUAGACGAACGACGUUAAGUUAACGUACCGACCCGUACGGGUAGGUACGGACCCGCCGACGGUAGGUAAACGUUAAAGGUAAAGUUAGUACGGACGUGAGACGAGCCGACGGACGACGACGAGGGGAGGAGGG
rnacentral:rRNA from 1 species